GUUCAGCCUAAACUGCAACACAUCUCCCCAUGGGGGCCCGGUGUGCAGUGGCUGCAGACAGCAGCCUCCUUGGUAGUGUAUGUGCCUGUUGCCUGUACAGGUUGCCCUCAGGGGCCUUGGAGACAGCC
rnacentral:snoRNA from 1 species